rnacentral:rRNA from 1 species
AUACCUACCCUCGAGUGGGGAAUAACUUCGGGAAACCGAGGCUAAUACCGCAUAAUACCCACGGGUCAAAGGAGCAAUUCGCUUGAGGAGGAGGUCGCGGCCGAUUAGUUAGUUGGCGGGGUAAUGGCCCCACCAAGACGGUGAUCGGUAUCCGGCCUGAGAGGGCGCACGGACACACUGGAACUGAAACACGGUCCAGACUCCUACGGGAGGCAGCAGUGGGGAAUAUUGCGCAAUGGGCGAAAGCCUGACGCAGCGACGCCGCGUGAGGGAUGACGGCCUUCGGGUUGUAAACCUCUUUCAGCUCCGACGAAUUCAGACGGUAGGAGCAGAAGAAGCACCGGCCAACUACGUG